UUAGUUUUUUUAAAUGUUUUAUUAAUAAGUUUUAUUAAAUCAUAAUUGAUAUAAUGGCAUUUUUAAUAAUACUUUAUUAAUGUCAUAGGCAAGUACGAAAUUCAGGUAUUCUUGCAAAAGCCCAGUCAUUUUCGUAAUGCCUUGGCAGUUUGUAAAUGUUUUCAUUUUUACAAAAUUACUUCACACUUUUAGGCAUUUGCAAAACUGCCGGAAAGGGUAAUUUAAUUUUUAAACAGUGUUGCAAUUUAGCCACAGAUCAUAAUUAGGCAAUCCAAACCAUGUGACCUCUGGUUGGCACACAAACUAAUAAAGAGGUUAUGUUUGUAUCUAUUUUUCAAUGAUUUUUCAUUGUUUAUCGUCGUAUUUUGUCUAUUUUGGAUUCAUUUGGAUUUCGUUUCCUGUUUUUGUGAACUUUAUAAACUUUACCACAAUGCAAACUGAUUAUUUAAGGAAAUUAUUAUUGGAAACUCCAGAUGUUGUGAGAAAGAUAUUUAUUGAAGCUGAAAAUAAUUGGGGAUUUAGAUCCAUAGGCAAUUCAGUCAGAAUUGGAUUUUACAGUAAAGUGCAGUCCAUCAAGUUACUAUUAUAGAUAUUUAUACAUAUCUGGUGGAGUCUCACAUUUGCUACUCUAAGCAGCAGAUGAAAGCAUACAAAAGCCUUCAGGCACAUAAAUAUUUUACAGCUGGAUUUGUUUUGAAUGGAGUAAAAAUUGUUAAUGAUUUCCUGAUUUUCAUAUUAUUGUUGGAAAGGUGAAGCAUUUCCAAAAAUCUAAUGCUAAACGACUAAAUGCUUGGCUGGGGUGAUAGCCAGUUCUGAUGACAUAGCAAAUGCACAUUGUAUGCGUAUGGCCGGUAAUAGUGAAGUCUGCAGCCAUAUUGCAGCAAUCCUAUUUUUAGCUGAGUAUGCCCAGGGCAAGACAGACAAAGAAGAACCCAAUGCAUGUACAUAUGUUACAGCUACAUGGUUUGGAGAUAGCAACAUAUGCAUUCUCUGGUGAAAAACUAAUGAGUUUUGAAAAUGUUCGGUCAGAGUGCUUGUUGCGCUCACUAAACGAACUGAAAUAUAAGAUGGCUUUGGCAUUGUGUUGCAGCGAUAUGAAAAUGGUUAUUCAUUUUUAAUUAUAAUGUACUUCUUCAUCAUGAGUAAUUAUGUAUUGGUCUUUUAAAUGUGUAUUUAUUUUUGUAAUUAGUAUCAGCUUGUAAUGAUAAUAUACAUUUAUCGUUGUAAGGUAUGACUAUGUUUUGACUCUAAAAUAAAUGUUUUAAAA